rnacentral:rRNA from 1 species
CAAAGGUGAGCCAGUACAGGAUGGACCCGCGUCUGAUUAGCUAGUUGGUAAGGUAACGGCUUACCAAGGCGACGAUCAGUAGCCGACCUGAGAGGGUGAUCGGCCACAUUGGAACUGAGACACGGUCCAAACUCCUACGGGAGGCAGCAGUGGGGAAUAUUGCACAAUGGGCGAAAGCCUGAUGCAGCAACGCCGCGUGAGUGAUGAAAGCCUUCGGGUCGUAAAACUCUGUCCUCAAGGAAGAUAAUGACGGUACUUGAGGGGGAAGCCCCGGCUAACUACGUGCCAGCAGCCGCGGUAAUACGUAGGGGGCUAGCGUUAUCCGGAUUUACUGGGCGUAAAGGGUGCGUAGGCGGUCUUUCAAGUCAGGAGUGAAAGGCUACGGCUCAACCGUAGUAAGCUCUUGAAACUGGGAGACUUGAGUGCAGGAGAGGAGAGUGGAAUUCCUAGUGUAGCGGUGAAAUGCGUAGAUAUUAGGAGGAACACCAGUUGCGAAGGCGGCUCUCUGGACUGUAACUGACGCUGAGGCACGAAAGCGUGGGGAGCAAACAGGAUUAGAUACCCUGGUAGUCCACGCUGUAAACGAUGAGUACUAGGUGUCGGGGGUUACCCCCUUCG